rnacentral:rRNA from 1 species
UACGUGGGGUGCGAGCGUUGUCCGGAAUUAUUGGGCGUAAAGAGCUCGUAGGCGGUUUGUCGCGUCUGCUGUGAAAACUCGAGGCUCAACCUCGGGCUUGCAGUGGGUACGGGCAGACUAGAGUUCGGUAGAGGAGUGUGGAAUUCCUGGUGGAGCGGUGAAAUGCGCAGAGAUCAGGAGGAACACCCGUAGCGAAGGCGGCACUCUGGGCCGAUACUGACACUGAGGAGCGAAAGCGUGGGGAGCGAACAGG